GGCGUUCAAACACCGGUUCCCGUACGAUCAUCGAAGUUAAGCAACAUCGAGCCUGGUCAGUACUGAGAUGGAUGACGACUUGAGAAUACAAGU